rnacentral:lncRNA from 1 species
CGUUUUUUCACCGUUUUUCGUCGUUUUUUCCCCAUUUUUUCACCGUUUUUCGUCAUUUUUUCACCGUUUUUCAUCAUUUUUUCACCGUUUUUCGCCGUUUUUUCACCGUUUUUCGCCGUUUUUUCGCCGUUUUUCCCCUUUUAACCGAUUUCUGUGUUUUUCCCCCCAUUCCAGAGCCCCCCAAGGACGCCGUUUCCCGAUCCCGAUCCCGGCUCCUUCUCCGGGCCCUGACCCCAUUUUUUCCCCAUUUUUCCCCAUUUUUUCCCAUUUUCACCAUUUUCCUUAUUUUCCCCCAUUUUUAACCAAUUUCACCCCAUCUUUACCCCAAUUUUUUCCCGUAUUUUUUUCACCAUUUUAUCCACAUUUCCCCCCCAUUUUUUCCCCGUUUUUCGCCGUUUUUUCGUCAUUUUUUCACCGUUUUUUGUCAUUUUUUCACCGUUUUUCACCAUUUUUCUUAUUUUCCCCCAUUUUUAACCAAUUUCACCCCAUCUUUACCCCAAUUUUUUCCGGUUUUUUUUCACCACUUUAUCCCCAUUUAUUCCCCAUUUUUUCCCCGUUUUUCGUCGUUUUUUCGUCAUUUUUUCGCCGUUUUUUGUCGUUUUUUCGCCGUUUUUUCACCGUUUUUCGCCGUUUUUUCGCCGUUUCUCCCCUUUUAACCAAUAUUUCCCUUUUUCCCCCCAUUCCAGAGCCCCCUGAGGACGCCGUUUCCCGCUCCCAAUCCCGGCUCCGGCGCCGGGCCCUCUCCUCGCUGGCGCUGCGGGAGCUGCGGGACGAGUUGGGGGAGGGGCCCCGGCAGGAGGGGGAGGGGCCGGGCCACGCCCCCCCCGCCCAGAUCCACAGGCGCCGCUUUGAGGAGUCGAUGCUGCGGCGCCUCAGCGCCCCCUGGCGGCCGCCAAAGGGGGCGGGGCCAGGCCUGGAUGACGUCACCAACCUCGGGGCGUUUCCCGCCCUUUUGGGAGCGGCCAAUCAGGUGCGGGGGGCGUGGCCUGGGGGGGGAAAAGGCGGGA